rnacentral:lncRNA from 1 species
GUUUUACUAUGUUAAUGCUUCUAGUUAUAACCAAAAUGUAAAAUGUGAGUUGUUGGUUUUUUUUAAACUCAUGACCUGGUUUGGAACCAAGAAUGACACUUUGUGAGAAAAUCAACUCUUCAUUUGGAAAUUUUAAAAAAUUAAACAAAAUAUUGAAUUCAAGGAUUUAACCUCAAAUCUUUAAUGUUCUAGAGGAUGCCUUGUACACUAUUCUGUACGAAGUGGUAUAGAGAGGAGCGGUUGCUGAUUUAUAAACAAGAGGCACAUUCAGUACGCAUACUCUUGCUGAUGACCCAGCUCCUGUUUGAUCCUGUUGACAAGAGUUCAGAAGCUGUAAAGAAAACUUAUUCCCCACACUGGUGUUGCAAAGAAAAGGACACUAGGAGUUGAAGAGAUUAAAACAGGAGAGUUAACAGGAAGUGUACUUUUCUGGGAAUAUGAAACUCUAAAACAACUUUUCAAGUAAUACAUAAUGGCAAUAAUAUAAGGAGGAACACUUUGCGUGAAGGGUUCAAUGACCUUUCAUGCUUACUGCCUCAAGACAUUCCCUACUGUAAAACCAGGUAAAAUCCAUAGGAAUGCAAGGUAGACUGAUGCUAACUUUCCAUUCUUGUAAGAAUACUGACUGCAAUUUACCAAAGGAACUUUUAUUAAUGUAAAAGAAACUAACAACUAAUAAAUAUUAUAUAGAUGGACA